UAUUUGCUUCUAAACACUCUCUGUGAGUUUUAAUCAUAUAUUCUGCUAGUCCUGGUUCAUCAUCAGGAGAGGAUCGACUGGGAGUCAGAUCCGCUAGUGUGAUUAAUCAUCUGACCUCUCAAGAAGGCUUCAAAGGCUUCCCAUCGCACAGCAGCAGAUGUUUGAUGAGUAUUCAUUUCAAAAUCCCAUUUUCUUCUGAUGGCACAGCAAGACGCCAGCACUCUGGGCGAAGGCCAAUUUGGGAAGGUCUACAAGAAGUUGUAUAAGGGCCAAUGGGCUUGUAUUAAGAGGGUUCCAGAGGACCGCAUCAGCGAGAGAGACCUAAGGAGAGAGUACAAAGUGUAUUGUAACGUACACCAUACAAAUGUGGUGAGGCUUCUGGGUGUCCCCUGGAGUCAGGAUUUGAAAUGGAACAUUCCUCUGGAGUUCAUCUCAGGGGAAGAGCUGGAGACAACAAUCUUCCGCCCUGAUAAGUCUAAAAUACUGUUGACCCCUACUGUCUCAGGAACCAUUAUCAAGGGCAUGUGUGCAGGGCUGAGUCAUCUUCACAGUAAAGACAUUGUGCACCAGGACAUUAAACCUGACAAUAUCAUGGUGGAACAUGGAACAAACCGCGCCGUCAUCAUAGAUCUAGGACUGGCUAAAUUCUUCAAGGGUGGAAUAACGUCGGCCCAGAACUUAGGCAAUUUUGCUUACUCCGCUCCUGAAAUCCUGCUGCAGAACGGUGUGCGGGACAAGCGCUCAGACGUCUGGGCAAUGGGCAAGGUCAUCGCUGAGCUGCUCAUCAGGCCCAGGGACAGGCUACCUACUCUCAACGUCACAUUCAGGAAAAUCUGGCCAAUCCUACCUGAGCCUUACAGGGGAACAGUGUCCAAAAUGGUGUACAGCAAUCCUGCUGCUAGAACCCGCAUGCCGAUAGUGGAGGCUGAGAUUAUACAGGCUUUAGCUGGUGUCAUGAAGCUACCUAUGAAGCUGCCUAGACGGGAAGUGAAAGCAGAAAGGCCACAACAGGUUCAACGAAUGCCACUGGCGGCAGAAUAUCCACAACGGGGUCUGGGACAGUCACAACGGGUUCUGGGACAGUCACUAUGGGGUCUGGGACAGUCACGAUUGGAUCUUGGACAGUCACUAUGGGGUCUGGGACAGUCACGAUUGGAUCUUGGACAGUCAAUAUGGGGUCUGGGACAGUCACGAUUGGAUCUUGGACAUCAGCCACUAUGGAGUCUGGAACAUUUGCUUCUGACACAGUCACAAAUGGAUCUUGGAGACCCAAAACUUGCUCUGGAACAGUUCCUAUGGGGUCAAAGACAGCCACAACAGGUUCGGGGACAGUCACUAUGGGAUCUGAGACAGCCACAAUGGUUCUAGGACAACGCCACCAUCUGGCCAAGCAGUAUAUCCCUUUGCAGACUGCACCGAACAUUCCAUUGUUUCAUACUCAAUGGCCUCAUGGCACAAAAAGGUGUAUUGUGUGAUUAUGCUACAUGGCAGAGAUAUAAUAUACCCACCACUGUAAUCAGGAGAAACAGGGCUUUCAAAUGGUAUAAAAUAUAGCUAAUAACUUUUAAGAGAACAUACAUGUUUUUUAAAUAUAUCUUUAAAAUUCAACCCCAAAAAACACGAAAAUAGCAAUUAGUCAAGAUUAAUCUCAUUUUCCCCAAUUUGUGUUGUAGGUAGAGAGAGAAAAACCUAGAGUAUAUUAGAGAUUCACAAUUUUGUCCUCUAUUCACUGAAAAAAACAGAACCAAUCUGUCACCUUUUGUUCAAAUGUUAUGAUACAUUUAUUGGACCUUUGCAGAUGGCACAACACAUUCCGUUUUUUUCAUACUGAUGCCCCCGUGACACAAAAAGGCUUGUUGUGUGGAUAUGCUAGAUGCUAGAGAUAUAAUAUACCCAUCAUUGUGAUCAGAAGAACUAGCCCUUUAAAAUGGUAUACAUCAUGGUUAAUAAGUUUAAGUGUAACAUACAUUGUUUUUAAACAAGACCUUCAAAAUUCAACCUUAAAAAACACAAAAACAUAUAUUUGUCAAGAUAAAUCUUAUGUUUUACCUAAUAGCUAUCGCAGAUAUAGUGUGUGAGAUAUAGACAAUGGUGUGCUCUCUUCAGUGAAAGAAACAGAAUCAAUUAAUUACCUUUGGUUCAAAAGUUAUGAUCAAUUUACUCAUAACUGCAAGUUGAAGUGACGAGUAGAAUUUUUAAAAAGUAGAAUGCUUUCAUUCCCUGAUUUCAACUCCAAAAUACACAGAUAUAUUGGUAAUGUAGUAAAAUAAGUGUAUUUAACCAUCUCAGUUGUAUAGCUAAAUGUGGCAUGUUUUACCUUGCCUUAAGAGCCAAUAACCUUUGUGAGUGAGGAAAGACUAAAGGUGAAGUAAAGACUAGCUGAUGGAGAAUGCCUCUCUCUGUGUAUCAUUCUGUUACGAAAACAAGAAUAGAGAAAAGACACUGACACAAGUUUUCUAAUGGAAAAAAUGUUUUUCAUUUUAUUUUAAAAUUGAUCAAUUAUAUGAAAUCUUUAGGAACCCAGGUAUAACACUAAAACAAACAAGCAGUAACUACUAGAACUAGAGUAAGAAGACAACACUGUAACAAGCGUCUGCGCUUUCUACUUGACAUGGGCCUGUCAGGGAAUGGCUAACCAAACCCAAAAUAGAUUGUCAUAAGAAUGCUAAUUAGUAGAAAUGUAAAUGUAAAUGUAAUGAAACUGUUACCACUAUUCCUGACAUUAUUAUAACAAGUAAUGCCCUUGUAACGAUAAAAAAUGUGCACAUGCGCAGUUGCGCACGCACGUGUGCACACUCAAACACAAACAUUGUUACUCAGCUGAGGAUGAUGGGAGAUCACUCCCCUCCAACUCCUCUUCUUCCACAUCCUCUUCACCCAGUAGCUGGCUAUCCAGGUACUCCUCCCAUGUCCAUCCCUGCAUGAUCCUGUAGUUUAUGCUCACCGAUGACCUGGAGCUCCUCAACGGUCAGUUGUCUCCUUUCCCUGAGAGACUCCAUCAACCGUGCAUACUGGCUCUUCUCCCCCUCCAUCUAAAAUAAUGAGGAGAAAAAAAGAUAAGCCUGUAAAUAACUUACUUGGUUGUUACAAUACAAUCUGAGUCACCUCUAACUAUGUCCUUUUUCACUAAAGACACGGUCACUGGAAGGCUGACUGAUGAUUUGGAGAAAUAACACACACACAAACAUAGUUACCCAGCUGAGGAUGAUGGGAGAUCACUCUCCUCCUCUUCCACAUCCUCUUCACUCAGUAGCUGGCUAUCUAGGUACUCCUCCUCUGCAGUGUCCAUCCCUUCAUGAUCCUGUAGUUGAUGCUCACCGAUGACCUGGAGCUCCUCAGCAGUCAGUAGUCUCCUUUCCUUGAGAGACUCCAUCAACCGUGCAUACUGGCUCUUCUCCCCCUCCAUCUAAAAUAAUGAGGAGAGAAAAAAAGAUAAGCCUAUAAAUAACUUACUUGGUUGUUACAAUACAAUCUGAGUCACCUCUAACUAUGUCCUUUUUCACUAAAGACACGGUCACUGGAAGGCUGACUGAUGAUUUGGAGAAAUAACAUUAGCCUGUGAACUCACUUGAAGCAAGUUAGUAUUAAAUCCUUGACUAAACAUUAUAGACCAGCUUGCAAACCAAUAUUGAUAUAAGACAACUUGAGCAAGAAAAUAAGACAGAAACUAUCUAGAGAGCGCAUGUACAGUAUAUAUGCACACACACACGUGCUAUUUCCUGGCAGCGUAAAGACGAAAUAUUGCGUCUCGACGUGGAGUAGAGAAAAUACCCACUUGAGUUCACAACAUGUUAACGUUAGUUGGCGAGUAUCGCCAUAACCUUGAUCAAGAAAAUUAUAGUCUACGACCUAAGCAAUAGUUAUGACACUAUACUACACGUCUUCAGUUAUGCACUCAUACAAAAGUAGCCGACGAUAAACGAAAACCUUGCGUUAGACCAGAGAAUGGGUAUUUCUCAAAGUCAAGAGCUCGUCCUUGAUAGAAUGCUUUCUUUCAAGUCGAGUGCUAGAGAGACAAGGCUACACACCUUCCCAGUACCCCCUCCAGCCGUCAAGAUCACAUGCAAUGGAACAGCCUAGCGAGUGUGGAAGUGCACGUCAAUUGUGCACGGUUCCGGCUGCGCGCUUAAUUAGAACCGUGGAAAUUGUGCUGCUUUUACAGGAGUUCCGACAACUGCAGCUGCACUUUUCUCUAAAUAAACUUUUUGGUGUAGCCUACAGUAUUUCCACUUUCGACUUGGUCUUCACAUAAUCACAAUCCGUAGUUCAUAAUUAUGUUAGUGGCAAUGGAAAGUUAUACCGGUAAUUGGCAACAGCAACGGUAAUGUUAAACUUCUACAAAGUUCGUAUUGGGCGAAAUUCUGAGAUAAAUUAAUAACAAGUCUAUCACAACUUGUUCAUGCACAUUGACAUAUGCAUUUAUGAUGAAUAUGCACAAUAACUUGAUAAAUGCCUGAGCAAAUAUACAAUGGCAUUAACAAAACACUUGAUAAAUCAUAUUUAGCCUACAUUAACACGCACUGCUUCUUUGCAUCUACUUUCCAUCUCCCUCUCUCUCUUUUUUUUUAAACCGCACCGUCAGAAAAUUUCUAAUUGUUCAUACGCAAAGGAUUGUGGGUUAUUUCUUCACUCCGAGGAUCCAUCGAUGCAUCCUCCAAAAUUCUCCGAAAUUCUCAGAACGAAGGACUCAGUACUCGCUAGAAUUUGAAAGCAUCCUUGACUUUGGAACAGUGCUUGACGAGAUUUGAUGACGUAACGUCCUUGAAAAAGUGGCUUGGAAGGAGCAAUCCUUGACUUUGAGAAGCACCCCACGUCUAAUAAGGGGAGAACUGCCACUGGCCGGGUUUCCCAAAAUUGUUAAGAAGCUCUUAAGUGCUAAGAACUUCUUAGGAGCGUUGUAAGAAUGUUCUAAGAACGCUCCUAAGAAGUUCUUAGGACUUAAGAGCUUCUUAACGAUUUUGGGAAACCCGGCCCUUGUCGUUAUACUUCCGGUUUUAAAAUGGUUGCAGUUCCACGCUGGUUCCAUUAGAGGCGCUCACAUUUGGAGUGCAGAAUGCAUGGAGGUCUAUGAAGCAAUACCCCUCAAAAUCCACUUUUCUCAAAAUAUAAUUUUUUGUCAAUUAAUUUGAAUGUUGUUUUCGAAAGGGGAUGCAAAGAAAUGACAUAUUGCGAGGUGUUUGAAUUUUUAGAGUCACUUAUUUGCUUUAAAACGUCUUUUAAAAUGUAAAUGACGUCAUACACUCAAGCUUCAUUAGCAGAAUGCUAGCGUGGUAUGGGCAACAACAACUCAACCUGUAAGAAAUCGGAAGGACAUAAGUACUCGUUCAUUCAACUUUUGACCUGAAACCCAUGUUGAACUUGCAAAAACUACAUUCAAAUCUGAGAUUUCUCAACGACAAUUGGGUGAAAGAGACAAAUUUAGCCAUCUAGCUCCAUAGGCUCCCAUUCAUUCUGCACUCAGGCGAUCGCCCCCAGUGGAAUUCUGGUGGAACUGCAACCAAAAGUCGUUACAAUAGGACUUAAUAGCGAGUGGCAAGGCUCUCCGUAGACGGGCUCUGGUUAGACCCUUGGCACAACCACAACGUUUGGAUACGUUAGCACCUUUCAUGUUUGACAGAUCAUAUCUAGCAAGCUAGCCAACUUGGCUGCAUAUAACUGUAAAAUGUGGUACAUAUUUCUACGAAAUAGCUGGUUUAUUUAAGAAUAAAAUAGCCUACCAAUAGAUGUCCUUCACAUGAGGUGAUAUAGAUAGAUAGAUUUGAGCGAAACGAGAGGGCGCGUCGCGGGUAGAGAUGCGCGGAUGGCGGUUACAGCCGCGGACUCCGCGGUUAAACCGCCGAUCGGGCGGAUGACCUUACAAAAAAUAAUAUUUUAAUUAGAUUCGGGCGGGUGGCGGUUGAACCGAUCAAAUGAAAAAAAUAUAUAUAAGCUACAUUGUUAAAUACUGUUACUUACAUCCAAUAAAAAACAUGCACACUUUUCUCAUCAGGCAGUAAUUUGGUCUAGUUGUGUCUAUGCAGUGCAUGCUGCUUUGUUUACUAUCAGAGAUGGCAACGCCGCCAGUGAAUGUGCGUGACAAACUCAAAGGUAACAACAAGUUUAAAUUAAGUUGCCUAUGUAGCCUAUGUUUUCGUCUGCCGUGUGCAAUAAGAAAGUAGAAGUUUAUAACUUGUAUGUAAGGCCUGCUGAUAUGGAUUGCACUGUCUGCCUGGAAAAGACGUGCACUCGUGCAAUCAAAAUUAACGGGAGUCUUCAGAACAGGCUCGUCCUAGUCGUCACCCUGACAAGCUGCAUAGAGUUAAAGGUAUACUAUGCAGGAUUGGCGAUUUCAUCGCCGGUUUCGCUUUCAUUUUCGUUUCGCUUUUCAUUUUCGCUCGUUUUAUGCUUGCAUAUUUCUCUGCAGAGCUUCCCCUACAGCUUUAGCGUGUAUAUUUGACAAAACUCCUCAAUCGGUCAGUCUGCCGUGCCUUUUCAUGAGACUUUACAUGACACUUCCUGGAGUAGAGCAUGGGUGCGUGCCCAGUGUCUCCUGAAGUUCAAGUGCAAGUGUGAUUUUACCGCUACAGACCACUAGAGCGGCCAAAAAAACCACUGUUCGAACGGUAAUGACUCAUUUAAUCAUAUAUAACAGUAUGGAAGGAAUUGAUUAACUGAAAAACGUUGCAUAGUAUACCUUUAAUUGGCCUGUAAUGCGAAUGGCUUGUUGUUAUUCUAUUCGGACUUUCUUUCUUUUUUGUAUAAAGAAUAAAGUGUAAUUGCCAUUAAUUAGACUAAAUAGCUGCAUCUUUCUAGAACAAGAGCUUUCUCGCGUCGCAUCAGCGUCUUGGAUCACCCAUAGACCUUUAAACAGAGAUCUUUGCUUUAAACAAAUAGCGGAUGGCGGGCGGGUGCGGUUCUGAAAAAAACAUAAAAAACGUAGGUGCGGACGGAUGAUGAGUUGUAUGAUGCGGUUGCGGAUAGAGUAAUAGUCCAUCCGCGCAUCUCUAGUCGCGGGCAUGUCGAACCAAAAAUAUUUCUGGAGCUGGAAAUGUACAGCUACUGUAGCGUGCUAACGGUAAUGAUUGCUGUUGUAUUACUGACAGGCUAUUUCGUUCAAACUUGAAUACAUCUCUAAAGUAACAGUCUUAGUUGUUAGCUUUCCAUGUUACCCCCCAAGAAAUCAUUGAAAAUAGUAACAGUUUACUAAAGACAACAGUUUGCUAAAACACCAGCAACCAGCUGAUGUGAACACAGACGCAAAUGGUCAUAUACACACGGUGCAAUUGCUAGUAAAAUGGCUAAAUAAAAACAACGAAAUAACUGGUUUAUUUGGGAAUAAAACAGCCUACCAAUCAGGUGUCCUUCACAUUAGAUGAUAUAGAUAGAGAAUUCUUGCUUUCUCUUCAAGCAGUGAAACAGUUUCGCGCCACAAAUCCCUUAACCAAUCAUAUCACUGUAAAGCCUAUUGGUGCAUUCCAGACAGCAUUUAAACUAGUGGGAUGUGGGAUUUAUCCUACCUCCAACUACGAAAGAUGCACUGGAACGCCUGUCGAAGUGGGAGCUCCUACUCGCGAACUCGUAGGAGCUCAACCUGUCCCGACCUCAACAAAAUGAAGUGGGAGGAUUAUACGUUAGACCGGCACAUCCGGGAAACUUGACUCGCGAGAAACGUUCCAGCCCCUUCCGGGGGGAAAACAAACAACGUCUCUCAUUGACUCCAAUGCAAAUUAGGGUCAAUAAACGUAAUUCGUACCGAAAUCGUAGGGGUUAACAAUAACAGAAAACACGACGAAUCAAUAGGACCACUCAAUAUAUUACCACUUUGCCGGUCGUUGACCGUGAAAGAUACGUCAAAAGCUUAAUUCAAUCAAAGUAAAAAACUUUCCCCUCUGCCUCCCGAGUAGCCUAGGCUACUAGCAGUAGCAACAACCCCACUCAGUGGCCAGUGUCAUACCCGGACAUACUCGUAUCUCAUUUAGUCUCCAGUUAAAUAACUAAAUUGUUUUCCUGUAUUUUUGGCCUCUUAUUUUAAUUUUAAUGUAGUGUAGGCUAGUUGACUCACAGGCUCGGAUGUAAAGUAUGUUCGUUAGAUAAUUCCAAGAUAUGAUCAUUUCUGUCAUAGCCGAUAGCCUAGUGUUAGCCUAGAUUUCCGUUUUCGUUGGUCUGAUUAAUUUUUGGUGUAGCCUAAUGUUAGGGGUUCUUAGCUUUGUGGUUGGUACCGCCCAAAUUAAUCGGCAGAGGGGGCCUACCUUUAUUUUGUUUUUUCUCUUUUCUUUUUCUUUUUAUGUGAUGAUUUUGUGACCUUGGGUGUCAUGAAAGGCACUUUAAAUAAAAUGUAUUAUUAUUGUUAUUAUUAUUACCUCUUUCUCUCUUCUACCCCCUCUCUCCCUCUCUGGUUCAUGUGAUUUUCUUCAUACUUUGUUUUAUCUGGUGUAUUUGAUUUUCUAACUUGUUUAACUUGUUACGUUUAAGUUCAAGUUUGUUGUUUGUUUGAGAUUAAGUUGACUUUGUUCAUUUGAUCCUUUGCUAUGUUAUAUUUACCUAUCUGGACUUUAUUUUAAAUUCAAUUGAAGUGGUAUUACCUUACACUUACCGUCAAGGCUUAAUGCCUAAUAAAUUCAUUUACCCACCAGUUGCAUAUCUCUAAGUCUUGUGUAUCAUGCCAUGCAUAGUCAUAGCUGACAAACUAGUUAUUUGGUCAUUUAUUAGAGAUACAAGUUAUUAAUCUUAUGGAGUCAGAUAAUCAUGUUUUUUCUCAUAACAUUACCAUAGAUAUGUAAUGGGUAGGACGGAGACGAUUAGAAUUGCACCUUGAUUGGAUCAGGUGGGUGCCACUUGGCGCUGCCCAGUUAAAUAUAGCCGUGUCUUCCGGUGUCUUGAUUAGUGCCUUUCGUUACUUGGCUGUAGCCUACACAGGAGCUCUUUUGUUGUGCGAGUGAACCCUGGCUUGGUGCCUGUGAUCCUUCACUGGAGUGUGUGUUUGUGUCCAAACUUCGCCUGACAAACUUUUUGGCUGUGGGCCCGUGUGUUUCAACAAAAACGUAAGUUCCCUGCUUUUACGUAUGUGCAACCUGUCCGCACUUUAGCCAUAGGCAGUUGCCCUUAUGAGUCACGUUUAUUUGCAUUUUGUUCACAGUGGCCACCUAUAUAGAGUGAGAGGUCGUUACGAGUCAAGAGGUCGUUACGAGUCAAUUGCGUGUUUGUUGUGCAGUGGAUGUAAGUUCAUGGAUUCCUUUCUCCCUCACGUUUGGUUGUUUGUUUAUUGCGGAGUGCUUACGAUUGGAUACUGUUUUGUAUUGUAGUUUUGCCUGUGAACGUAUUGUAAAAGCGGGUCCACGACGUGACCGAAAACCACAAUAGUUUUCCGGCUCAGCACGGCGGCCUGCGUUUCUCCAGGAAUUGGAGGAACAGGUCGGGCAGCUAACGGAGCAGCUUAGGCAGUUGCAAGCUGACAAUGAAAGGCUACGACAGGGAAAUUUAGCACCUACUCGGGAGGUAGAACAGGGAUUAAGUUUUGCCUGUGAACGUAUUGUAAAAGCGGGUCCACGACGUGACCGAAAACCACAAUAGUUUUCCGGCUCAGCACGGCGGCCUGCGUUUCUCCAGGAAUUGGAGGAACAGGUCGGGCAGCUAACGGAGCAGCUUAGGCAGUUGCAAGCUGACAAUGAAAGGCUACGACAGGGAAAUUUAGCACCUACUCGGGAGGUAGAACAGGGAUUAAGUUUUGCCUGUGAACGUAUUGUAAAAGCGGGUCCACGACGUGACCGAAAACCACAAUAGUUUUCCGGCUCAGCACGGCGGCCUGCGUUUCUCCAGGUUGGUAACGUAUGCUACUUUAGCUUCUCGCCCUGUUCAUUGAUCAUAGCCAAUAGUAGACCAUUGCAGCUGGGAGUAAUUUAAUCAGUUCGCUGGCAAACAGCUUUAGUCUGCUAUGUCUGUAUUUUUAUGACAUUAUGGCCAUGUUUUUCUUGCAGGAGAACCAUCAUCCGCUGCCUUAGCCACUGUUUUUCCUGUGCUUUGAUUUUAGUAGCUUUCGUGUGAGCGUGUGGCUUAGCCACCUUGUUGCCUAGAGGGGCUGUCCUUACUGUUCAAUGUUUGUAUGUCUAUUGUAUGUGCUAUUUAUUUAGGCCAUUGGGUCAGUGCAAUAUUCUGGGAGGGGGGGACAAUAAUCUUGUGUGGCCAUUGGCUUGCUGAGAGUGAUUUCCACCGAUUUGUGUGUGGCUGAUGUGCUGUUUAUCGAGUGUUUGCUUACUGAGUCAUUUCUGAAGUUUACCGUGUGCUAUUCAUCCAAACACCUUUUGCUGUGAUCUUUAUUGCCCUCCACCGUGAAUUUGUUGCCCUGAAGGCCUACUGUCUGUCGUAUUGUGUAUGUUGUUUAAAAUACAAUAAACAUUGUCUUUAUUUUUGAUAAUA